GGCUCAGUGGUUAAGAGCACUGGUGGCUCUUCCAGAGGUCCUGGGUUCAAUUCCCAG
rnacentral:tRNA from 1 species